rnacentral:tRNA from 1 species
GGAGACGUGCCGGAGUGGAUGAAUGGGCCGAUCUUGAAAAUCGCUGUAACCUGUAAAGGUUACCAGAGGUUCGAAUCCUCUCGUUUCCGCAA